UCGAGAAUCUUUCGCAAUGCCCGAAAGGGUGACGAAGCGACGCCGCGUGCGGGAGGAAGGCCUUCGGGUUGUAAACCGCUGUCGGGAGUUAAGAAAUGCAAGGAUGUUAAUAGCGUUCUUGCUUGACUAAGGCUCCGGAGGAAGCCACGGCUAACUCUGUGCCAGCAGCCGCGGUAAUACAGAGGCGGCAAGCGUUGUUCGGAAUUAUUGGGCGUAAAGAGCACGUAGGCGGCUGUGUAAGUCGGUUGUGAAAGCCUUCCGCUCAACGGAAGAACGGCAUCCGAUACUGCAUGGCUUGAGUGUGGGAGGGGAGAGUGGAACUUCUGGUGUAGCGGUGAAAUGCGUAGAUAUCAGGAGGAACACCGGUGGCGUAAGCGGCUUGCUGGCCUAAAACUGACGCUGAGAUACGAAAGUGUGGGGAGCGAACGGGAUUAGAUACCCCAGUAGUCCCUGAGCGGGCUGGCAAGGCGCAU
rnacentral:rRNA from 1 species